CAAGAAGAGUUUUUGCAAAGAGACUCCGAAAACCAUCGCGAAACGUACCUCGUCAGUCGUUGCUUCGGCGGGCGGCCCCCAGGCCGGGGCCGCAGCCCGAGAGGGCGCCCGCCGGAGGGACCGAAACAUCCUGUUUUCCCAGCGUCUCCUCUGAGUACGACUAGCGAAAUAAGUAA
rnacentral:misc_RNA from 1 species